rnacentral:rRNA from 1 species
UACGUAGGGGGCAAGCGUUGUCCGGAUUUAUUGGGCGUAAAGAGCGUGUAGGCGGCCUGAAAGGUCAGCUGUGAAAACUCGAGGCUCAACCUCGAGACGUCGGUUGAAACCGUAAGGCUAGAGUCCGGAAGAGGAGAGUGGAAUUCCCGGUGUAGCGGUGAAAUGCGCAGAUAUCGGGAAGAACACCCGUGGCGAAGGCGGCUCUCUGGGACGGUACUGACGCUGAGACGCGAAAGCGUGGGGAGCGAACAGG